UACAGAGGGUGCGAGCGUUGUCCGGAAUCACUGGGCGUAAAGGGCGCGUAGGUGGCGCCGCAAGUCCAUGGUGAAAGCUCGAUGCUCAACAUCGAGUCGGCCACGGAGACUGCGGGGCUCGAGCACUGUAGGGGCAGAUGGAAUUCCGGGUGUAGCGGUGGAAUGCGUAGAGAUCCGGAAGAACACCGGUGGCGAAAGCGGGGCACUGGGCCAAUUCUGACGCUGAGGCGCGAAAGCGUGGGGAGCAAACAGG
rnacentral:rRNA from 1 species